ensembl:lncRNA
CCGAGGGGGCGCGGCGCGGUCAGAUGGAGGGCACUUCGCCGAGCCCCAGGCUCGCCGGGCGGAGUAUCGGGACUGGUGACCCCUGGCGACUCUCCGCUCGGCCCAUUCAUUCCUCGGUUCCGCUCCACAAGUGUUUAGGGGGCGCCUCUGAAUGCGGGGGAGGGCCGGGACGGAAACGUGAGGGCCCCCGUUCUCCUAGGGUUUACGGGCAUUCCUCUAGGAAAGGCUGCCAGCACGCAGGGAAACUGAGGCACACGCGACCAGAAGUUGUGUUCCUGCUGGGAACGACUGGAUUUGAGUUAGUCUUGUUCUGGUUUUCCCUGUUGAUGCACAAGCCUUGGAGAUGAAUUUCUUUAAUCUGAGCUAGUACCUUGGACAUCCCGGUGUCCCUCUAGAGAAUGGCUGACUUUGUCCUGUGUGCCUAUGUCCUGACCCAUCAAGGUUGUCAGACACUGACUAAUCACCUUUUCUUUAUUAGACAGGGACAUGGAGAUCUUUAACCUGACAUCAUUUUAUAUGAACAUUCUGGGUUUUCUGUGACCGAUGACCCGCAGUUGACCUUAAGGACCAAUAAUAGGCUAAAAAAUGCUCUGCAUACAUAAAUGAAAGGCCUAAAUGAAACUUUUUCAUCCUGUUCAUAGGAGAGAAGAAUCAGCCUGCUUUUUAUGCCCGAGGCUUGUUACCCACCAGAGCAGGUGUUUAGAAGGAUGAGGCAUUUAUCCUUGGGAAAGCUUAUUGGCCUUCUCACUCCUCCUCUGACUUCUUGCUGUUGUCUUAUAAAACUUGGGAUGUCCUGGAUGGUUGUUGGGAGGUGGGGUUUUGUAGUAGGUGAUAGCGAUGACACUUGGACCACUUUUGAAGCUGUAGUUCACUCCUCUAGCUCUUAGACUUGCCCGAAACAGCGCCAGUAUCAAAAUACCUGUCUGUGGGAGCGUUUGCAAGCUGGAGAAAGCUGCCUAAGAAGGUUGGCUGGGUGGCAACAGUGAUAGAAUGUUUAUAUUUAGCCACAUGUGCCGAGUGUGGCUGUCACAAGUUUAAAAUGCUUUCCUGUAAGACCAUUUGUCUGUUACUUGUGUUCUUUCUCAUCUAUAUUUAGGUGGCUUACUGUAGCUUUGAAAGUCACUGGCUUUUUAUGUAGUGUUGGUGAUUCAUAGAUUUGCUCCCUAUAUUCAUUGUAGGCUGUUUCUGAGAACAUCCUUUAAGGAGAGCACAGCCAGGCUUCUAAUUUCACGUUUCAGGGGCAGCAUGUGGGACAGCCUCUGACCCCGGUUCAGGUCAGAUCUCAAAGCUCUGUUCAAGCGUAAAUCAUGGCUGUGUGCCUGCAGUUGGAGUGAGUCGGCUGCUGGUGUUCUGAAGCUUUUUUUAAAAUUAGACUUGACCAGUAAUACAUUUCUGUAGGUGUUGCCUUGCAUAUAUGUAUACCUGUCUGAGCAGAGAUGGUUGAUUUGUUUUAAACUAAUAUUUAUAACCAGGUAUUGAAUUAGUGUCAUGUAAGUGAGACUCUUGAAGUGUCUGGCAGGUCCCUUUCAGCUUAGAGGGAGGUAGGGGAGGGGUUCUAUGAUGUUUCAGGAAUACAGUACUUCUCUCUCCCCACCGUCCGUGAAGGGGAUAAAGCCCUUUAAUUUAGUUCUCAGCUAAAACUUCUUCCAGGGGACUGCCUCUGACCAUAGUGUGAACCACUUGUCCUCAACCUCCUUUAAUUAUGCUGCCCAUAUUCCCCAGAAACGAAAGGGGUUGAGGAGACUGGGGACAGAGUUUGUAGAAACUCUACUAUAGGUUGCCUAGAGAGGACUCAUGUGUUCAUUCACCAGAUGCCUCCUUUCUGGUCCUUCUAUGUACUGGGCACAAUGUGUCAGCCUUUGCUUCUUUGUGCGAGCCUAUUUGGUUCUUGUCUACUUUAUCUGCCAUAGGCGGAACCUUUUUUAUUUUUUUCCUGCUAAGUUAGUCACUGUACUAACAUCUCUUCAACAAUAGACUAACCCAGUCCCUUGCUCCUUGCUCCGGGGCCACUGAGAAGGCUGCUGGGGUGUUGGCCUUUGUUUUGGGCCCUGUUGUCCUCUGUUGCUAAGCACUGGGUGCCUGUGCUUGUUGUCAGGUGCUCUGUGUGGAGUUUCUACUUUUCUGCAGCUGGUUUUCUGAAAGACACACAGGCAGUGUGUCGGUAAGCGAGUCCCUUUCGGGGGCCGUGACUGGGGGGGUAGAGUCGUGGCUGUUAACCCCAGCCAGCUUUGGAGAUGAGUUUGCUCGUUUGGCCAAUUUCAUUGUAACUUUCAGUUUGAAUGACAGACGUUCAAAUUCAAAAAUAUGAAGAGGGCAGCACUGUACAGGAAAUGUCAGGAUAUUGAGGAAAACCCACCAUUACACAUGACCCUCACUGCUGUGGCUGUGCUUCCUUCCAGCCUUUUUCCAGAGUGACUGUAUACGCGCAUCCGGGCACAUAGGUCUUUUUCCCCUCACCAGUUAAUAU